rnacentral:rRNA from 1 species
GGGUCAGUAGGUUGGUCGUGCCACCGGUACGUACUGGUCUCACUGAUUCCUCCUUCCUGAAGAACCGUAAUGCCAUUAAUUUGGUGUUGCGGGGAAACAGGACUGUUACUUUGAAAAAAUUAGAGUGUUUAAAGCAAGCUAACGCUUGAAUACAUUAGCAUGUAAUAAUGAAUUAGGACGAUCGAUCCUAUUUUGUUGGUUUCCAGGAUUGACGUA